rnacentral:lncRNA from 12 species
GAAGGAUUAGGAUGGUAAACGUCACCAAGUCAAUGGUUCAGCCUGGGGAGGCAGUGAUCCAUGCAAAGCCAUCUUUAUGGGUCAAAGAUGUUCACCCCUUUGGAGAAGGUGGUGUGCAAUUUACAGGAUUUCAUCUGUACCAAGCAGGCUGGGAAUGUUUAUCUGGGGUCUCCAAUACUCCAAAUGCCACCUGUCAAAGGACUUAAUGGUUAAGGAGAGCAGUUUGUGGAGGCUUCUCUUCCUCAUCACCCAUCAACAGGAAAAUGUUUAGGAACAAGAAUGCCCUUUGCUGCAGGAAUGUAGCAGCCAGC